AUGUGACACAUUUCGAAUUUCGAGAUUCAAACAAGUCUAUCUUUGACUGUAAAUUUUUCAUAUAUCUUUUUAAUAUUUUGAAUUAUCAAUUAUUGUGACUUAUAGUACUUUUUAUGUAGUUUACAAAUAUAUGAAUUUCAUUUUUAAAAAAUUUGAAGAUUUCACGAGCAAAUUCUCGGUCAAACUUAAACUGUUUGACUCUCGAAAAGCGAAAUGUGUCACAUAA
rfam:Solanum tuberosum cultivar DM 1-3 516 R44 scf00457_20, whole genome shotgun sequence.